ensembl:lncRNA
CCUGUCCAAUAUGGUGAAACCCCUCUCUACUAAAUAUACAAAAAUUAGCUGGGCGUGGUGGUGCGCACCUGUAGCCCCAGCUGCUUGGGAGGCUGAGGCCGGAGAAUCACUUGAACCAGGGAGGUGGAGGUUGCAGUGAGCCAAGAUUCUGCCACUGCACUCUAGCCUGGGCAACAAAGCAAGACUCCAUCUCAAAAAGAAAGAAAGAAAGAAAGAAAAAGAAAGAAGGAAGGAAGGAAGGAAGGAAGGAAGGAAGGAAGGAAGGAAGGAAGGAAGGAAGGAAGGAGAGAAAAGAAAAGAAAGAAAGGGCAAGGGCAAGGUUUCUGAUAUCAAAGAGAAUGUAGGCUAAAACUCGAAGGUACAGAUAACCUGCAAACUAGCAAAGAAAAUAAGAAAUGCUAGUGUCAUAUCACACAAGAGCUUUAUCAUCAGUUGAGUUUAGAUCUUGGCUUUCCCACUUGCUGUACGUAUGACAUUCCGCUGGUCACUUAACAUCUUUCAGAUUCAGUUUCCUAAAUUGUGAAAUAUACCUACUUUAUGUUAGAUUUUGUGGUUGACUCCCCCAAAUCCUUUCCACCUCAGCUGAUCCAUCUAAACCUGUCAUGAUAAUCCCAUUCUCCUUGCUAAUGAUUGGUCCAGGGAUGGCUAAUGAAAUAUGCAGAAGAAUGCAGUGGACUGGACUGUGCCCUCCCAAAAUUCCUGUGUUGAAACUCUAACCUCCAAUGUGAUGCUAUCUGAAGAUAGAGCCUUUUGGAGGAAAUUAGGUUUGGAUUAGCUCAUAAGGGUGGGGCCUUUAUGAUGGUCAUAAGUGUGGGGCCUUUAUGAUGUAAUUAAUGUCCUUAUGAAAAGAGACACCAGAGAACUUGCUUGCUCUCUCUCUCUGCCUUGUGAGGACACAAGGAGAAGGCCAUUUCCAAGCCAGAAAGAGAGUUCUCACUUCACCUUACCAGGGCGGCAUCCUGCUGUUGGACGUCCAGCCUCCAGAACUGCUGGAGUGCAAUGGUGCGAUCUCGGCUCACCACAACCUCUGCCUCCUGGGUUCAAGUGAUUGUCAUGCCUCACCAUUCCAAGUAGCUGGGAUUAUAGGAUCUCACUCUGUUACCAGGCUGGAGUGGAGUGGCAUGAUCUCAGCUCACUACAACCUCUGCCUGCCAUGUUCAAGUGAUUCUCGUGCCUCAGCCUCCCAAGUAGCUAGGAUUACAGGCUCGUGCCACCAAGGCUGACUAAAUUUUUGCAUUUUUAGUUGAGACAGUUUUCACCAUGUUGGCCAAGCUGGUCUCAAAUUCCUGGCCUCAAGUGAUUGGUCCACCUUGGCCUCCCAAAGAACUGGGAUUACUGGUUGGAGCCACUGCGUCCAGCCUUUGGUCACGUUUCUACCAUGGUUAAGAGCUUGUGAUAAAAUGUCAGAUUUAUAAUGCUGAAUGAGAUCAAAUUCCUAAUUGAGGAAACAGACAUAACACUCUACUUUACUUAAUCAUGAAUACUGUGCAUUUUUUAUUGACUUUUUUGCAUUUUUACUUAUUCCUUGACAUUAAUGAUUGCAAAAUCAUAACAUCUAAUGUAAAAUGAACAAUAAACCACCAUUAUAAAAGCAAUGUAAGGCCAAAUAAAUUAAUUUGUCAAUUGUCCCUCCCAGCCACUAAUAAUCACCUGUUAAACAUUUAUCUCUAAAAUAUAUUCUAGAAUAAAUUAUGUCUCUUUAGCAAUUUGUUUGGCUGAAAGUACAAUUUCAUAUUCUUGAGUAUAAUUGGAGGAGAUUAUACUGCAAAAUUUUUCAAAUUCAUUCAUGUUUUAUAUAUGUUGCCCAUAAAGCCAGUCAACACAGUUGAGUCACUAAGGGAGCAAUGUAUAGAUAAUUCCUUAAUAUCCAUUACUUCAUUUACUAUUGUUUGAGCCAAAUGAUUGAGAAACAGGAAACAGUUAUAGGGAUGUGCCCCAAUUAGAUAAACCUAUUCUAGUUCCCAAUUAUUAUCAUUAUUAUUUGUGACGGAGUCUCACUCUGUCACCCAGGCUGGAGUGCAGUGGUGUGAACAUGCCCCACUGAAACCUCUGCCUCCCAGGUUCAAGCAAUUCUCUUGCCUCAGCCUCCCAAACAGCUGGGAUUACAGGCUUCUGCCACCAUGCCCAGUUAAUUUUUGUAUUUUUAAUAGAGACGGGGGUUUCACCAUGUUGGCCAGGCUGGUCUCGAACUUGUGACCUCAGGUAAUUCACCCACUUCAGUCUCCCAAAGUGCUGGGAUUACAGGUGUCAGCUACCGCUCCUGACCCCAUUCCCUAAUUAUUUUUUCAGGAUCCCAGGCCUGAGUUAUUUAGACCAUUCUUAUUUUGAGACUGUGUAUGACCCGGUUCAGAUUAAUAAGAUAAAUUUGUUAGGACUUUUCGAAAGUGUCACUUUGGACAGGGCGUGGUGGCUUAUGCCUGUGAUCCCAGAGCUUUGGGAAGCUAAGGUGGGAGGAUCAUUUGAGGUCGGGAGUUUGAGACCAGACUGACCAACAUGAAGAAACUCCAUCUUUACUAAAAAUAUAAAAUUAGCCAUGUGUGGUGGCACAUGCCUGUAAUCCCAGCUACCUGGGAGGCUGAGGCAGGAGAAUCGCUUGAACCUGGGAGGCGGCAGUUGUGGUGAGUGGAGUUCUCGCCAUUGUACUCCAACCUGGGCAACAGGAGUGAAACUCCAAGAAAGAAAGAAGGAAAGAAAGGAAGAAAGAAGGAAAGGAAGGAACGGAAAGAAAGAGAGGAAGGAAGGAAAAGAGAGAGAAAAAGAAAGAGAAAGAGAGAAAGAGAAAGAAAGCAAGAAAAAGAAAAAAGAAAAGUAUCACUUUGAACAUCUUAUGACCAUUUAAUUCUCUGGUAAUCUCCAUGACCUGGAAAGUCUGUCAUCAGGAAAUAGGUUGCUUAAUAGAUAUUGCCAUUAGAAGAGGAUCUAUGCUGAUGUUCACCUCAAGUAUGGCCAAGGACAUGGGAUAAAAGAGAAUCUUCUAGAAACUCCAAUAAGGGAAAUACAAAAGCAAUCAUUUCAGGGGUACUGCUCAGAUUGCCAGUGUGGUUAAUCAAGGGCUUCACACCUGUGCAUGGCACAGAGCUCUUGCUGUUCCUGUCCAACAGGAUGUGAUAUGUGUUCUGAAACAGUAGACAGUGUAUGUUGUUGUCCAGUCUUUCAUUUUUCAGCUUUUUUUUUUUUUUUUGAGACAGGGUCUCAUUCUCUCACCAAGGCUGGAGUGCAAUGGCAGGAUCUUGGCUCACUGCAACCUCCACCUCCAAGGUUCAAGUGAUUCUCCUGUCUCAG